GGAAGCGUGCCCGAGUGGUUUAAGGGAACGGUCUUGAAAACCGUCAAGGGUGAAAGCCCUUCAGAGGUUCGAAUCCUCUCGCUUCCG
rnacentral:tRNA from 1 species